rnacentral:lncRNA from 1 species
GGAUCAAAAGUUAGAUUCAUUGGUACACUUUUUUCAACUUUGGUAUUAUCCUAGUUUUCAUCUUUUUUUGAAUGAUGAGAUCCAAUAUUGGAUAAUCUGGAGGCUUUUUUGGUGGAAUUUCGAUCUAUGUAUGGAAAACAUGAUGUAAUUUGUAUUGCAACUAAUAAGAUUUAUAUCUUGCAAUAAGACAAUCAAUCAAUGACAUCAUAUGCUUCAUAAUUUUGACAACUAGUGAUUGAUAUCAAGUAAGAUGAUGCUGCCUUUAUCA